GCUCCCUUAGGUCAGCGGCGGACGGGUGAGUAACACGUGGGUAACCUGCCUGUAAGACUGGGAUAACUCCGGGAAACCGGGGCUAAUACCGGAUGCUUGAUUGAACCGCAUGGUUCAAUCAUAAAAGGUGGCUUUUAGCUACCACUUACAGAUGGACCCGCGGCGCAUUAGCUAGUUGGUGAGGUAACGGCUCACCAAGGCGACGAUGCGUAGCCGACCUGAGAGGGUGAUCGGCCACACUGGGACUGAGACACGGCCCAGACUCCUACGGGAGGCAGCAGUAGGGAAUCUUCCGCAAUGGACGAAAGUCUGACGGAGCAACGCCGCGUGAGUGAUGAAGGUUUUCGGAUCGUAAAACUCUGUUGUUAGGGAAGAACAAGUACCGUUCGAAUAGGGCGGCACCUUGACGGUACCUAACCAGAAAGCCACGGCUAACUACGUGCCAGCAGCCGCGGUAAUACGUAGGUGGCAAGCGUUGUCCGGAAUUAUUGGGCGUAAAGCGCGCGCAGGCGGUUUCUUAAGUCUGAUGUGAAAGCCCCCGGCUCAACCGGGGAGGGUCAUUGGAAACUGGGGAACUUGAGUGCAGAAGAGGAGAGUGGAAUUCCACGUGUAGCGGUGAAAUGCGUAGAGAUGUGGAGGAACACCAGUGGCGAAGGCGACUCUCUGGUCUGUAACUGACGCUGAGGCGCGAAAGCGUGGGGAGCGAACAGGAUUAGAUACCCUGGUAGUCCACGCCGUAAACGAUGAGUGCUAAGUGUUAGAGGGUUUCCGCCCUUUAGUGCUGCAGCAA
rnacentral:rRNA from 1 species